CGCGUUGUUUUCUGGCGCUGGAGCCGCCGAUCGAGGAGGGGCAACUAUAAAGAAAAUGUAAGUUCGCCUCGCCUCGCCUCGAUUCGAUCUAGAUUUCUAAUCUUUUUUACUCGGCGGGGUCGGAUCGAUCGGCGAGCUUUUAAAAAAGAGAUGUGGCGCUUCUUUGCCGCAUGUCGAUUUCAUCCUUCCUGACAGUAUCCUUUGCGCCGCUGCGAUGGCAGGCUUGACUCCACCAGGGAGCCUAGCCUGGAUGGACGCAUCGAUAACAGCUUCUCAAUAGCCUCCUUUGACUACGAAGAACUUUAAGCAUCACGCAAGAACACGGCAAACGUUUAGUCUGCGAUCUAAGAUCAUUCAUGGGUGUUACGCAUACGCUCGUCGCAUGAACAGACAAAUCCAAGAUUCUCUUGGUGGAGGCGAAUGCUGCCAUGGUUAAGCAUAUAAGCAUCAAGCAAGAACACGGCAAACUUUUAGUGUGCGAUUUAAGAUCAUUCAUGGGUGCUACGCAUACGCUCGUCGCAUGAACAGACAAAUCAAAGACUCUUGGUGGAGGAGAAUGCUGCCGUGGUUAAGUUAAGCAUAUACAUCAAGCUGGCUUUUUCUUUCUUGUUGCUCACAGAACACGGCAAACUUUAACUGUGCGAUCUAUAGAUCAUUCAUGGGUGCUACGGCUAUGCUCGUUGCAUGAACAGACGAAUCGCUUUCUCUCUCGAUCGAGGCGAAUGCUGCUGUCCUUAAGUUAAGCAUUUAUCAUUUGUCUCAAACUGGCCGACUCUUUGUUGUCAACUUCUUCCGCUGUGCAUGUUUUCUUGACUGGUUUUGUAGGAGCAAGUAACUCGCAGCUACGUAUUUAUCAAUGCAUUGGUUGAAACCUUUAGCUUUGUUUUUGCUUUCUUUACCGCUGAAUGGUGUUUGGACUCGUGUUUUGUUUGUUUCCUAUAAGCGUGCGGUGCAUAGUCUUGCUGACCGGCCUCUCAGUUCGUGAAGAACACUUGUUAUCUACAGUUGACAAACUGGUCCCACCUGGAGAUGGAUGUUGAAAGGAGGUCUACCGAGCAAACAAGUGGAUCUUGCUGCUGCUGCUGCUUCUGCUACUACAAGCACUCUGCUCGAGAUCAGCUAAGUUUUUCUUUUUACCCUCUUGAAUUUCUAGGACUACGUUUCCUCCUCGUUUUGAGUACGUGUUGCUCCAAACGUUCCUCACUCCCCAUCGUGUCACCGAUCAGUUUUUGAUUCCUCGGGUCCCACUCUCACCCGGCUUUUCCAUCGUUCCUUCACACCACCCGGGCUUGUCUUUGCAAUUCUCUUUUCAAUUAUUUGUCUCUAUUCAGCUCCCUUUUCCACACCGUCUGUUGUCCGAUAGAGCUGCCACACCGCCACUCUAGCUCGCACUCUCUUUCUCUCUUCCUCUCUGCUCUCGCUCUAUCGAGCAAAAGCUCGCAGUCCUCGCACUGUAUGUGUUUUCUUGCGGACAUCGAUAAAUAUGUACGUAUGUGGUUGCCCACGUGCCGAUGUAACCAGUUUAGCUCAACACCGAUAAUGGUCUUCAGCACCUCUAACCUCUGAUUCCAAUUCACCCUUGCUGUAGAGCUCUGUGCUUUUGAAAGGAGAAUGAACUCUAGAUACAAUGGAGAGAAUUCUGUCACUGUGGUUCAGCAGCACACUCGGUUUCUUCCUGCCUAUUCGCUCAGGUUCUCGGAAUGGCUCAAGCCUUACGUGAGUCAACCCGUCUCGCAGCUGCCAGUUGCUAUUCCGUUCUUCGACGCUCGUGUCAAAACAUUUCCUUGGAAGGCUUCUUCGUCGCCCGGGAUCAAAACAGAAGCGCAGCAAUCGGACACCCCAUAUGUUUCAGUGCAGGCCUCGCCAUCCAGUUCCAAGGAGGAGACAUUGCCUUUUCUGAGCCUGGGGCCUCGUGCUGAUCCAAAGAAGGAAAUCCUACCAAUAUCGACUCCCAUCCUACAGCCUUUGUAUCGGGAAGAAAAUGAAGAAGAAGAAGAAGACCAGGAUUCGACUAAAAGUGAUGGAAUUGGGAGCAGUAACGUAACAGUGGCACUAAGCAUCGGUCCCCCAGUCCAGACAAGUGACGACGAGAUAAAGAAGGCUUACGAAGUAGAGCGGCUUCAGCGGUGCAAAGGAAGGCUUUCCGAAGGACAGUACUGGAUUCCCACUCCAGCACAGAUUUUAGUCGGUCCAACACAAUUUUCUUGUCCAGUGUGCAGCAAGAACUUCAAUCGCUACAACAACAUGCAGAUGCAUAUGUGGGGGCACGGUUCUCAGUAUCGGCGGGGACCAGAGUCUUUGCGAGGUGCUCAGCCGACAGCCAUGCUAAGGCUUCCAUGCUACUGCUGCGCUGUUGGAUGCCGUAACAACAUCGACCAUCCCCGUGCGAGGCCACUCAAGGACUUUCGGACACUCCAGACGCACUACAAGCGGAAGCACGGCAUCAAGCCGUUUCCUUGCCGGAAGUGUGGGAAAGCGUUUGCUGUGCGAGGGGACUGGCGGACUCACGAGAAGAAUUGCGGCAAGCUGUGGUACUGCUCUUGUGGCUCAGAUUUCAAGCACAAGCGCUCCCUCAAGGACCACAUCCGUGCCUUUGGAAACGGGCAUGCUUCCUGCGGAAUUGAGGAGGAUUUCGACGGCCAGCACUCUGAGGACGAUGACUGCUCCAACUCGCAGCAGUCCGCUGGCUCGCAGUGACGCAGGAGGAAUUGGCUGUAACUAGGAUCUAAUCGAAGGAAAGAAAGAAGAGUCGCAAAGUCCAGCGGUCUCCAGCGCACCAAUGCGCUGUUGAAACGGAGCCAAGUUUCGUGCGGAGUCGAGCUAGGCUCUUCAUGUGUUUCUUUUGUGUUGAGAUCAGCGCUGGGGGCCUCUUUCUCGCCCGUGAGAAGUGAAAACAACUCGAGGCUCACAUGCUCCGUGUUGCCACGGUCGAGGACAGAAAUCCCUGUAACUCGCCAGGAAAGAAACACUUUGAUCUCUGGUUUCUAGGCUGCUCGAUCGAGAGUGAUUUUCUUUUUCCCUCCUCGAUCCACUUCUAAAGUUUGUUUGCGAUCGAUCACCAGCGAUUGCAUUCUUUUUGUUUUCCUCGCAGACGAGACAAAGGCGGAUUCAAGCAAAGAAUAUGGAUCGUCGUGACGGAUUUGGUCAGUUCUUCUCGACCACAUCUUUUCCUCGCUUGUUUAAUCGAUCGAUCGGUUGGUUGAUUCUCUCUCGUCUAGUUUUGGUGCACGAACUCCGCAAAAGGAGUGGCAUUUUCUCGAAGAACAAUGGAACGUGUCUCUAGCUUGGUUCGAAGUGGGGGACAAGGACAAAAGAUAUGGACCUAAAGUAAAAGAGAAAGUUUAUAAAUGGCAAGUUUAUCUUCGUUUCUCUAA